UUUGGUGGCGAUAGCGAAGAGGUCACACCCGUUCCCAUGCCGAACACGGAAGUUAAGCUCUUCAGCGCCGAUGGUAGUCGGGGG
rnacentral:rRNA from 1 species